UUCAGUCUUUAGUGCAUCUGAGCCCUCCUUCGCUAUGUCUCUAGAAAGUAUCCUGUCCCUUCUCCAGGUUGACUCUUCUGGAUCCUCACCGCGACUCUCAUUCCAUCCAGACUCCCCUUGUCAGCAGAUGGCUUUGCUGCCUAGUUCCCAGAGAAAACUGAGACCGUGCACCACAAAAUCCCUCAACUUCCAGCUUCCCUCCUACAAAGGUUCCACAGCCCAGGAGAAGCAAACUCAGAAGCUGUGUCUGCAAGGACCAUGUGAAUUCAGGAUUCUGUUUCUACUAGACACCUCCCUUCUAUUGGAUGCUGUGCUAGAUAGAAGGGAAGAGGUCAGCCAGCUUCCCCACUGUCAUAUCCUCAGCUCCAGGAAACUACAGACAGAGCCCCUACUGAAAACCCACACGGUUCUCCAUUUCUUCCAAGAUCAAGGGCAAAUUCCAUAGCACACAUCAAAGAGCCUCCAAAGGGUGGGUGGCCCCGGGUCUCUUUCCACCCUGGUUCACUGUUACUCCAUCUGCUUCUCCCUCCUUCCACCCUCUUUUCUCUCUUCCAGCCACAAUAAUCUCCUUACCUUUCCUGGAAGCACCAUGCUCCUUCUUGCCUCCCUGCUUUCACACUUGCUAUUCCUCUGCCUGGAAUUCUUUCCCCUUUCUUCCUUGGGAAUUCUUAUUUACCCUUCCAAGCCUAACUAGAACGUCACCUUCUCAAGGAUGCCUUACCCAUGUCCUCUAAGCUGAAUUUGUUACCCCUUCUUCUAUGUUCCUUCGGCUCCUUUUUCCUAAGAGGAAAUAUAAAUGUAUUAUAAAAGUAAAUACAGGGACUUCCCUGGCAGCCCAGUGGUUAAGAAUCUGCCUUGCAAUGCAUAGGUUCCCUCCCUGGUCAGGGAACUAAGAUGCCACAUACCUCAGGGCAACUAAAGGCCCGCCCACUCUGGAGCCCACAUGCCACAACGAAGACCUAGGGCAGCCAAAAAAAAAAAAGGAGUAAAUAUACAUGUUUAUAACCUCAUUUAUCACUUCCCUGGUAGCUCAGAUGGUAAAGAAUCUGCCUGCAAUGCAGAAGACCCAGGUUCAACCCCUUGGACAGGAAGAUCGCUUGGAGAAGGGAAUGGAAGCCCACUCCAGUAUUCUUACCUGGGAAAUCCCAUGGAUAGAGGAGCCUGAUGGACUCCAGUCCAUGGGGUUUCAAAGAAUUGGACAGGACUGAGCGACAAAUGCAAUUCAACCUCAUUUGUGUUCUCUCUUUGGUGGUAUGAGUCACUUGAACAUUACUUUUUUUGUUAUUGUAUAAUAGUUUCCUCCUCUCCUUUAUUGAAUCAGUCCUGUGUAUUUAUAUUUAUUUGCUUGUAAGUCUCUGAGACAAAUGUUUCUCUUUACUCUGUGUAUGCCUAGGAAGGUGCAUGUGUGUGGUAUGUAUAAAAGCUUUACUGAUUACAGUGUUGAAAUAUGAUUUAUGCCACAAAGGUUUGUGGGGCAAUCCCUCAUGGGAAGGCGUGAACUGAAAAGUUUGGUCACUCACAGCGUUGGUCUCAGAGGAGAUUAUGGUUCAUUUAACAGGAAGCCA
ensembl:lncRNA